rnacentral:rRNA from 1 species
CCUACGGGGGGCAGCAGUGAGGAAUAUUGGUCAAUGGGCGCAAGCCUGAACCAGCCAAGUCGCGUGAGGGCUGACGGUCCUAUGGAUUGUAAACCUCUUUUGUCGGGGAGCAAGGCACGCCACGUGUGGCGGGAAGGAGAGUACCCUAAGAAACAGCAUCGGCUAACUCCGUGCCAGCAGCCGCGGUAAUACGAAGGAGGCGAGCGUUAUCCGGAUUUAUUGGGUUUAAAGGGAGCGUAGGCCGGCUUUUAAGUCAGCUGUGAAAGUCCGCGGCUCAACCAUGGAAUUGCAGUGGAAACUGGAGGACUGGAGUGCACAAAGGGAUGCCGGAAUUCAUGGUGUAGCGGUGAAAUGCUUAGAUAUCAUGAAGAACACCGAUCGCGAAGGCAAGUGUCCGGGGUGCAACUGACGCUGAGGCUCGAAAGUGCGGGUAUCAAACAGGAUUAGAUACCCGGGUAGUC